rnacentral:rRNA from 1 species
CAGCCGUAAACUAUGCUCGCUAGGUGUCAGGGACGGUGCGACCGUUUCUGGUGCCGCAGGGAAGCCGUGAAGCGAGCCACCUGGGAAGUACGGUCGCAAGGCUGAAACUUAAAGGAAUUGGCGGGGGAGCACAACAACGGGUGGAGCUUGCGGUUUAAUUGGAUUCAACGCCGGAAAUCUUACCGGGACCGACAGCAACAUGAAGGCCAAGCUGAAGACUUUGCCGGAUUAGCUGAGAGGUGGUGCAUGGCGUAGUCGUGU